GCAGCCGCGGUAAUUCCAGCUCCAAUAGCGUAUAUUAAAGUUGUUGCAGUUAAAAAGCUCGUAGUUGGAUCUCGGGUCCGGGCUCGCGGUCCACCUCGCGGUGGUUACUGCCCGUCCCGACCUACCUACCGGUUUUCCCUUGGUGCUCUUAACUGAGUGUCUCGGGUGGCCGGAACGUUUACUUUGAAAAAAUUAGAGUGUUCAAAGCAGGCGCUUCGCCUGAAUAAUGUUGCAUGGAAUAAUGGAAUAGGACCUCGGUUCUAUUUUGUUGGUUUUCGGAACUCGAGGUAAUGAUUAAGAGGGACAGACGGGGGCAUUCGUAUGAUGGUGUUAGAGGUGAAAUUCUUGGAUCGCCGUCAGACGAACUACUGCGAAAGCAUUUGCCAAGAAUGUUUUCAUUAAUCAAGAACGAAAGUCAGAGGUUCGAAGACGAUCAGAUACCGUCCUAGUUCUGACCAUAAACGAUGCCGACUAGCGAUCCGCCGGAGUUGUUUCAAUGACCCGGCGGGCAGCUUCCGGGAAACCAAAGUCUUUGGGUUCCGGGGGAAGUAUGGUUGCAAAGCUGAAACUUAAAGGAAUUGACGGAAGGGCACCACCAGGAGUGGAGCCUGCGGCUUAAUUUGACUCAACACGGGAAAGCUUACCCGGCCCGGACACCGUAAGGAUUGACAGAUUGAGAGCUCUUUCUUGAUUCGGUGGGUGGUGGUGCAUGGCCGUUCUUAGUUGGUGGAGCGAUUUGUCUGGUUAAUUCCGAUAACGAACGAGACUCUAGCCUAUUAAAUAGUUCGCCGAUUUCGAUCUGUCGGCGUUAACUUCUUAGAGGGACAAGUGGCUUUUAGCCACGCGAGAUUGAGCAAUAACAGGUCUGUGAUGCC
rnacentral:rRNA from 1 species